AUGUUCUUCAUGUGUUGCGGCCAUGCCGUCAUGUGUUGCGGCCAUGCCGUCAUGUGUUGCGGCCAUGCCGUCAUGUGUUGCUGCCAUGCUGUCAUGUGUUGCGGCCAUGCUGUCAUGUGUUGCGGCCAUGCCGUCAUGUGUUGCUGCCAUGCCGUCAUGUGUUGCGGCCAUGCUGUCAUGUGUUGCGGCCAUGCUGUCAUGUGUUGCGGCCAUGCUGUCAUGUGUUGCUGCCAUGCUGUCAUGUGUUGUGGCCAUGCUGUCAUGUGUUGCGGCCAUGCUGUCAUGUGUUGCGGCCAUGCCGUCAUGUGUUGCUGCCAUGCUGUCAUCUGUUGCGGCCAUGCUGUCAUGUGUUGCGGCCAUGCUGUCAUGUGUUGCGGCCAUGCCGUCAUGUGUUGCUGCCAUGCUGUCAUGUGUUGCGGCCAUGCUGUCAUGUGUUGCUGUCAUGCUGUCAUGUGUUGCUGUCAUGUGUUGCGGCCAUGCUGUCAUGUGUUGCUGCCAUGCUGUCAUGUGUUGCUGCCAUGCUGUCAUGUGUUGCUGCCAUGCUGUCAUGUGUUGCUGCCAUGCUGUCAUGUGUUGCGGCCAUGCUGUCAUGUGUUGCGGCCAUGCUGUCAUGUGUUGCUGCCAUGCUGUCAUGUGUUGUGGCCAUGCUGUCAUGUGUUGCGGCCAUGCUGUCAUGUGUUGCGGCCAUGCCGUCAUGUGUUGCUGCCAUGCUGUCAUCUGUUGCGGCCAUGCUGCCAUGUGUUGCGGCCAUGCUGUCAUGUGUUGCGGCCAUGCCGUCAUGUGUUGCUGCCAUGCUGUCAUGUGUUGCGGCCAUGCUGUCAUGUGUUGCUGUCAUGCUGUCAUGUGUUGCUGUCAUGUGUUGCGGCCAUGCUGUCAUGUGUUGCUGUCAUGCUGUCAUGUGUUGCUGUCAUGUGUUGCUGUCAUGUGUUGCUGUCAUGCUGUCAUGUGUUGCUGUCAUGCUGUCAUGUGUUGCUGUCAUGUGUUGCUGUCAUGCUGUCAUGUGUUGCUGUCAUGCUGUCAUGUGUUGCUGUCAUGUGUUGCGGCCAUGCUGUCAUGUGUUGCGGCCAUGCUGUCAUGUGUUGCUGUCAUGCUGUCAUGUGUUGCUGUCAUGUGUGGCUGCCAUGCUGUCAUGUGUUGCUGCCAUGCUGUCAUGUGUUGCUGCCAUGCUGUCAUGUGUGGCUGCCAUGCUAUGUUGUCGUUUUAGGUAUCUCGUUAUGUAGUGUUGUGCUGAUGUUUUAA
rnacentral:lncRNA from 1 species